AGAAGAAUAUUUUGCUACGACAAAUGAAGGGAGCGUUUUGGGAGAAGAAACAUUGGAUAAGCUUUUGUUGUAUGCAAGACCACGUACAAUAAUUUGGACGGCCGAUUUGUUGAUGCUGUUGACAGGACGAGAAAUGGUUCUCGAAGACGAGAAUAGAAAGGCGAUUUCAAUAAAUGGGAUCGCUAUAAGGGCCGGAGCCUGCAGCGUUCACAAAUUGCUGAUUGUUUCGGAUGUAAAAGGACCACGUACUACCUAUCUCACCACAGCCCACGAAAUUGGACAUUUGCUCGGAUCAUAUCAUGAUGGUGUAAAAACAUCAAAGGCCUGCCAAGAAGAUUAUUACAUAAUGGCCACUGAGAUGGCAUCAUACACGAGGCCUUUCUUCUCUGACUGUACCAAGGCUGCUAUUAUUAAUUUUU